UUUAACGUGACACAGACCACUUUGAAAGUUUAUUUAAAUUUUCGGUCCUUUACCUUACAAGAACCUUUAGAUUCGUUUAACCAACAUAUGGUGACAGCCAAGCCAAGCAAAAAUUUACUACUAGUCCGAAAGUGCUUGGCAGAUCGUAACAGGAUCAAAAAAUCUGAACAGAGGUACAAUCAGGGCAGUUAAAAUAUGUUUUAAUACUUGAACAAACAAAAUUUGACUCAACUCUUUUCGUGGAAAACUUUGUGCACACACAAAAAAGCUCCAGUCAUCCACAACGAGUAGACUAUAACCUUCUACUAAUAAAGCUCCUUUAAUUUUUUUAUUUUCUUACCUUUGGUCUACACUUAUCCUCACUAACAAUGGCGAUUCUAGUAAGACUUUCGCUCAUGGUGUUGAGUAGGGUGCAGUUGGCAAAGGACAACUUAAGGUGCGCCCAAUUUUUUGCUUGUACUACCAGUCAACCUACUACAGUUUAUAAAAAUGCUACAUUACAUUUCGAAUAAAAUAAAUAAAAAAGAUAAAUUCAAGUUUCUGAGACUGUAGAAAGAUGUAUUUUCUUAAAUCGUCAUUACGAAAAUUUUUUAUUGCCAAUACGGACCUAGCGCUAAGUCAUUGCCCAUUUAAUUGCAGACCAAAUAAUUGGUCAAAGAUAUGAAAGUUUGGAAGAGCCAGUUUUUGCAAUUAAAAAACAUAAGAAUGA